AUGCGAUUGAUGAGCAGAGGAAGCGGCAGAAGCAGCAACAGGUCCGGUGCGCAACAGAGUUGAGGGCGGCCGGGGUGAAGUUCAAGAAGAGGAAGACAAAUCGAUUGUUGGACGUGAAGUUCGAAAAAGGAACCCUUUGGAUCCCACGCCUGGUUGUCAAUGAGGAAACCAAAUCGCUCUUACUGAACAUGAAAGCUUACGAGCACUGCCACUGGGAAUGUGGCAACGAGGUCACCGCUUACUUGAUAUUGAUGGACAAUCUGAUAAACUCGGCUGAGGACGUGAGUUACCUGAAUAGACGAAAGAUAUUGGCGCACUGGUUGGGUAGUUAUGAGGAAGUGGCAGUGUUCUUCAACUGUUUGUGCAGAGAGGUAGUGUUUGAUUUCCAGAACACUUACAUCUCUAAAUUGUCGGCGGACGUGAACAAUUACUGCAACAAAAGGCGGAACAGAUGGCUAGCCAUCUUAAGGCAAAACCACUGCAGGAACCCAUGGACUAUCAUUUCCCUUUUUGCUGGGUUCAUCUUCUUGUUGCUCACUUCGGUGGAGACAUUUUACAGUGUCUAUGGGUAUUAUCGACCCCCCAAUUAGUU